rnacentral:misc_RNA from 1 species
GAUGAAGAACGUAGCGAAAUGCGAUACGUAAUGUGAAUUGCAGAAUUCAGUGAAUCAUCGAAUCUUUGAACGCAUAUUGCGCUCUCUGGUAUUCCGGAGAGCAUGCUUGUUUGAGUAUCAGUAAACACCUCAACUUCCAUAUCUUUUUUGAAAUGGGAGUUGGACUUGAGUGAUCCCAACGCUUUUCCUCACCGAAAAGUGGCGCUUUACUUGAAAUGCAGGUGCAGCUGGCCUUUUCUCUGAGCUAUAAGCAUAUCUAUUUAGUCUGCCUAAAAAACAGAUUAUUACCUUUGCUGCAGCUAACAUAAAGGAGAUUAGUUCUUGUGCUGACUGAUGCAGGAUUCACAAAGACAGGCUUCGGCCGACUUUGUAAACUCGAUCUCAAAUCAAGUAAGACUACCCGCUGAACUUAAGCAUAUCAAUAAGCGGAGGA